GCAAACUUGGUCAUUUAGAGGAAGUAAAAGUCGUAACAAGGUUUCCGUAGGUGAACCUGCGGAAGGAUCAUUACAGAAUUGUUCGAAAAACUUGCGGACUAAUUCUUUAAAUCCGUAUCCACACCGGCCGGGGGGGGUUCUUUGAUGGACCUUUUUCGGCCGUAGGGGGUGGUUUUUCUUGGGUCUCUUUCGGCGGCCCUGGAGAAAGCAUCCCUGUCUGACCUUUGCCUAAAAAUUGAUCUUUUUGACUGAAAAUUUUUGAUAAAAUCAAAUCAAAAACAACUUUCAACAACGGAUCUCUUGGCUCUCGCAUCGAUGAAGAACGCAGC
rnacentral:misc_RNA from 1 species